UACGUAGGGUGCGAGCGUUAAUCGGAAUUACUGGGCGUAAAGCGUGCGCAGGCGGUUUUGUAAUUCAGAUGUGAAAUCCCCGGGCUUAACCUGGGAAUGGCAUUUGGGACUGCAAGGCUUGAGUGCGGCAGAGGAGACUGGAAUUCCUGGUGUAGCAGUGAAAUGCGUAGAUAUCAGGAGGAACACCGAUGGCGAAGGCAGGUCUCUGGGCUGACACUGACGCUCAUGCACGAAAGCGUGGGGAGCAAACAGG
rnacentral:rRNA from 1 species